AUGUCCGUGAGGUCUUCCAGGAACCUAUCCACCUAUCCACCUUUCCUAUUGACUCUUUCCCCUUUUCCUCUUUCUCUGUUCAGCAGCGCAGCUUUAGACUGGGCAGCAGCGCACAUGCUGGUGGCUGAGAUUUGAGGUGUGUGCAAGCGUCCUCAAGAAGAAUCGCAUGCGGACAACCGGCUAGAUGUGGCUCAGUGCGGCUGAGACCGUGAUGGUUCGCAUGCGGGCGACCUGGUGGUUGUUCAAGGGGCGAAGGUCGUGCGCGUUCAGAUGACGGCAGCUGCUCGCGUUCAGGCGGCGGAGGAUCACAUGUAGGCAACAAAUCCAUGGUGUCCAUAAAAGUUUGUCGAUUUAAUUUUACAAUGGUGGAGUGUUAGGCUUGUGAUCAACCAGUCAGUUUGGAUCCUGUGGAGUGGAGUUAAUACCUGAAGUUGGAGUUAUCUUCUAUUAUAUGCUGCCUAAGGUCGAUAACCCAGCACCGACAGUUAGCAAGAGUGGAAGGCCGAUCGAACUCCUUCCGUCAGGCCCAAUCUCUCUGAUCGGCCAUAAUGCACCAAGCCUAGCGGUACUGAUGCAUCGGAACGUGCGCUUUAAGAAGACUACCAAGUGAUCGAAAGUAUCCCCACCGGUUGUUGCUGCCACCCUAGCACAAGCCUUCAAGGGCACAUCGAUUGCAACAGGAACUUCAUCGCAAACUGGCAAAUCGGCUAAGACCAGAAGCACUCAAACGUCAAGUGCCGAUGCCCCCCAGCCCAGUCAAGCUAAGAGAAAAGGCCCCAAAAACACCAAGUCGCAACCGAAGCGCCAGAGGACAGCACCAUCUUCUCCUCCUCGUCCAACAUCACCGAUCCAUGUAGCAUCAUCCCUUUCUUCACCGAAGGCCCAGACACAAGAAGCACUUUCUCCUCCCCGACAAGUACCCCAGUAGCAAGAAGCACCGGCCGAUGUUGCUGAACAGGUUGUCGAUCCGGCUGAUCUGAGUACAUCAUCGGCCAUCCUUCCAGAACAAACGAUCACCAUACCUCAUCAAGUUGAAGUCAUUCCAUCGGCAACUCUAGCCGAUCAACCCAUAGUACCAGCUGCAUCUCCUCGCCAGAUACGGGAAAUCACCCUGAAGCAAGAACAAGACUCCCCAGACAGUCUGUUCUCAUUUGCCAUUGAAAUCUCCGAUGAUGAAGGCGAAGAAGCGAGUUCUUCUCAAGCAAUUGGGAUCUGAUCGGUAGAAAUCAAAGCUAAAUUGGAGGAUUUAUUGGCUCUGCUGCACCAAGAUACCGCCCAGCUGGUAGAUGAUUCCGAUCCAGCCAAGGCUUUAUUCAAGACUCUUCGUGGUCAGAUCCCAGCCAAUGUAGAAGAAGUCCUUUUCUAGGCUGCCCACUUAGAGAGCCGUCUGAGUGAUAAACCUUUGAUGCGUCGGCAGUGGAUCCACCGAUGCGUUAGGCAUCUGGAAUGUCGGCAUUUGAAAAUUUCUAGUAAGAGGUCUCGCAGUAGUGGUUGUAGAAUACUGGGGAUUCAGAGUCAUCGGUGACACUGGAGGUGCCGAUGUCAUAGGAGCCUUGCCUAUCACGUCAGCCACUUGAGAUGUCCUAGAACUAUUUGCAACAAAGUCUGGGGGCAUACCAUAUCCCCACCAGUUGGGAGGAACCUGAUAAUUUUGGAAUACAGAUCCUGACAUUGCCGAUGCCAAUAGAUCUAUAGCAAGUUGAAUUUGUCCUUCUGAUGUUCUUGGAUUAGUCCUCAUCGGUGUAGAUUGCCCAUUAGUCAUCCCUAAUGUGCUUAGAGGAGAAGUAACUUUU